rnacentral:rRNA from 1 species
UACAGAGGGGGCAAGCGUUGUCCGGAAUUACUGGGCGUACAGCGCGCGCAGGCGGUUGCCGACGUGCCGUGUGACAAGCGGGGGCUCAACCCCCGAGGGCCACGGUAAACGGGGCGACUGGAGGGAGGGAGAGGGAUGUGGAAUGCCCGGUGGAGCGGUGAAAUGCGUAGAGAUCGGGCGGAACACCAGCGGCGAAGGCGGCAUCCUGGCCCUUACCUGACGCUGAGGCGCGAAAGCUAGGGGAGCGAACGGG